rnacentral:rRNA from 1 species
AGUAUGUGGUUUAAUUCGAUGCAACGCGAAGAACCUUACCUGGUCUUGACAUCCCGGAGACCCUUAGGAAACUAGGGGGUGCUUCCAUCUGGAAGAAUCUGGAGACAGGUGCUGCAUGGCUGUCGUCAGCUCGUGUCGUGAGAUGUUGGGUUAAGUCCCGCAACGAGCGCAACCCUUGCCUUAGUUGCCAGCAGUUCGGCUGGGCACUCUAAAGGGACUGCCGGUGUUAAACCGGAGGAAGUGGGGAUGACGUCAAGUCCUCAUGGCCUUUAUGACCAGGGCUACACACGUACUACAAUGGCCGAUACAAAGGGCAGCGACACUGCGAAGUGAAGCCAAUCCCGUAAAAUCGGUCUCAGUCCGGAUUGGAGUCUGCAACUCGACUCCAUGAAGUUGGAAUCGCUAGUAAUCGCGCAUCAGCCAUGGCGCGGUGAAUACGUUCCCGGGCCUU